UAGGGAAUCUUCCGCAAUGGGCGAAAGCCUGACGGAGCAACGCCGCGUGAGUGAUGAAGGUCUUCGGAUCGUAAAACUCUGUUAUUAGGGAAGAAUAAAUGUGUAAGUAACUAUGCACGUCUUGACGGUACCUAAUCAGAAAGCCACGGCUAACUACGUGCCAGCAGCCGCGGUAAUACGUAGGUGGCAAGCGUUAUCCGGAAUUAUUGGGCGUAAAGCGCGCGUAGGCGGUUUUUUAAGUCUGAUGUGAAAGCCCACGGCUCAACCGUGGAGGGUCAUUGGAAACUGGAAAACUUGAGUGCAGAAGAGGAAAGUGGAAUUCCAUGUGUAGCGGUGAAAUGCGCAGAGAUAUGGAGGAACACCAGUGGCGAAGGCGACUUUCUGGUCUGUAACUGACGCUGAGGCUCGAAAGCGUGGGUAGCAAACAGG
rnacentral:rRNA from 1 species